rnacentral:rRNA from 1 species
GGCUCAGGAUGAACGCUGGCGGCGUGCUUAACACAUGCAAGUCGAGCGAAGCACUUAAGUUUGAUUCUUCGGAUGAAGACUUUUGUGACUGAGCGGCGGACGGGUGAGUAACGCGUGGGUAACCUGCCUCAUACAGGGGGAUAACAGUUAGAAAUGACUGCUAAUACCGCAUAAGACCACGGUACCGCAUGGUACAGUGGUAAAAACUCCGGUGGUAUGAGAUGGACCCGCGUCUGAUUAGGUAGUUGGUGGGGUAACGGCCUACCAAGCCGACGAUCCAUAGCCGACCUGAGAGGGUGACCGGCCACAUUGGGACUGAGACACGGCCCAAACUCCUACGGGAGGCAGCAGUGGGGAAUAUUGCACAAUGGGCGAAAGCCUGAUGCAGCGACGCCGCGUGAGCGAAGAAGUAUUUCGGUAUGUAAAGCUCUAUCAGCAGGGAAGAUAAUGACGGUACCUGACUAAGAAGC